UUUGGAGGAUUAAAACGUCAAUGGUGGUAUUAAUCUUCUUAGAUGAUUCAACAUGUUGAUAUGUAGAUCUAAGAAAAGGAAUCUAAUUAAUGCUAACCACAAUACUUGAAUGAUGUUUGGAAAUUUAAGAUAAAACUGUGGCAAUGAGGAUAAAGAGGUUUGGUGAACAACCUAGAUUUAUUCGAUUUUUCAGAAUGGAACACAUGGAUGAAGAAGAACACCUUGUAAGCUAUUGGAAGUUCACAGUUC
rnacentral:lncRNA from 1 species